AGAUAAAUGUAUUCUUACAUAUCCUACGCUAAACACCUUGCUGCCUACGGUUGAGAGAAAUAUCCUAGGAGCGAAGGAGGAGACAACAUACAGAAAAUGUAGUUAAGGAGAAAUCAACAGCCAUCUUUCCUGCUCAGAAGACCAGAAGAACAGCAGCAGUUGGUCUGCAAAGAGAAAGAGAAGAUUAAAUCGGAUAUUCAAAGAAUGGAAGCCAGAUAUGAAGGGAGAAUCCUAA